GGUGGAUGCCUUGGCACUAAGAGCCGAUGAAAGACGUGAUAAGCUGCGAAAAGCUUCGGGGAGGAGCAAAUAUCCGAUGAUCCGGAGAUAUCUGAAUGGGGAAACCCGGCUGGACAGACUCCAGUCAUCCAUACGCCAAUCCAUAACGUAUGGAAGGGAACCCGGUGAACUGAAACAUCUAAGUAGCCGGAGGAAGAGAAAACAACAUGUGAUUCUGUGAGUAGCGGCGAGCGAAAACGGAAGAGCCCAAACCGGGAUGCGUGCAUCCCGGGGUUCGGACCGCGGAAUUGAUUCAACAAGUUUAGCAGAACAGUUUUGGGAAAGCUGACCAAAGAGGGUGAAAGUCCCGUAAGCGAAAGGCGAGUUGACAUGGCGGUAUCCAGAGUAGGUCGAGACACGUGGAACCUUGACUGAAUAUGCGGGGACCACCCCGUAAGGCUAAAUACUCCUUAGUGACCGAUAGCGCAUAGUACUGUGAAGGAAAGGUGAAAAGGACCCCGGGAGGGGAGUGAAAGAGAACCUGAAACCCUGUGUUUACAAGCUGUGGAACAUCUUUAUAUGAUGAACCGCGUACUUUUUGUAGAACGGUCCGGCGAGUUACGCUGGCUGGCGAGGUUAAGCACUGAAGGUGCGGAGCCGAAGGGAAACCAAGUCUGAACAGGGCGAAAGUCAGUCGGAGUAGACCCGAAACCGGGUGAUCUAUCCAUGUCCAGGUUGAAGUUGCCGUAAAAGGCAAUGGAGGACCGAACCCACAUCCGUUGAAAAGGGUGGGGAUGAGGUGUGGAUAGGGGAGAAAUUCCAAUCGAACCCGGAGAUAGCUGGUUCUCCUCGAAAUAGCUUUAGGGCUAGCCUCAUACAAGUCUUGCGGAGGUAGAGCACUGAAUUUCCUAGGGGGCGUCAAAGCUUACCGAAGAAUAUCAAACUCCGAAUGCCGCGUAGAUGGUGUAUGGGAGUCAGACUGCACGAGAUAAGUUGGGUAGUCAAAAGGGAAAGAGCCCAGACCUGCAGCUAAGGUCCCAAAAUGUGUGUUAAGUGGAAAAGGAUGUGGGAUUUCGAAGACAACUAGGAUGUUGGCUCAGAAGCAGCCAUACAUUCAAAGAGUGCGUAAUAGCUCACUAGUCGAGAGGUCCUGCGCCGAAAAUGUCCGGGGCUGAAACACACUGCCGAAGCUCAGGGAUGAACAGUGAUCAAUACAGAUCAAUGCAAGAGGAAAGCUUCUUGAUGAAAUCAAGAAGAUUCCAAAACAGAUGAAACAGACUGCUGUUGGUCUGCGUUGAUCACUGUUCAUCGGUAGAGGAGCAUUCUUAAAGAGACGAAGCUGUACCGAAAGGAGCAGUGGAUUUUUAAGAAGAGAGAAUGCCGGAAUGAGUAGCGAGAAAGAGGUGAGAAUCCUCUUGGCCGAAUAUCUAAGGUUUCCAGGGUAAAGCUGAUCUGCCCUGGGUAAGUCGGGGCCUAAGGCGAGGUCGAAAGACGUAGUCGAUGGAUAACAGGUUGAAAUUCCUGUACUAUCCUGUAACAGAACUGUGGGGACGCAGACAGAGAGCACAAGCCGGGAAUGGAAAGACCGGUGCAAGCGAGGUAGGAGUACAUCAGGCAAAUCCGGUGUGCAAUCCGAAGACGUGAUGCGGAUCGAAAAGAAGUAGAGAAGUGUGUGAGCUGGCUGCCAAGAAAAGCCGCUAUUGUUUACAGGAUACCCGUACCGUAAACCGACACAGGUGGAUGAGGAGAGAAUCCUAAGGCCGACGGGAGAAGCAUUGUUAAGGAACUCGGCAAAAUGACUCCGUAACUUCGGGAGAAGGAGUGCCAUGCGAAUGGCCGCAGAGAAUUGGCCCAAGCAACUGUUUAGCAAAAACACAGGUCUAUGCGAAACCGAAAGGUGAGGUAUAUGGGCUGACGCCUGCCCGGUGCUGGAAGGUUAAGGGGAGAGGUUAGCGCAAGCGAAGCUUUGAACUUAAGCCCCAGUAAACGGCGGCCGUAACUAUAACGGUCCUAAGGUAGCGAAAUUCCUUGUCGGGUAAGUUCCGACCCGCACGAAAGGCGUAAUGAUUUGAGCGCUGUCUCGACAAUGCAUCCGGUGAAAUUGAAGUACCAGUGAAGAUGCUGGUUACCUGCGCCAGGACGGAAAGACCCCAUGGAGCUUUACUCUAGCUUGAUACUGGGAUUCGAUAUUGCAUGUACAGGAUAGGUGGGAGACUAGGAAGUGGUGACGCCAGUUGCCAUGGAGUCAAUGUUGGGAUACCACCCUUGCAGUAUUGGGUUUCUAACCAGCAGCCGUGAUCCGGCUGGGGGACAAUGUCAGGUGGGGAGUUUGACUGGGGCGGUCGCCUCCGAAAGGGUAUCGGAGGCGCUCAAAGG
rnacentral:rRNA from 1 species